UGUUCCUAGGCCAGUUAACCCACUGUUCCUAGACCAGUUAACCCACUGUUCCUAGGCCAGUUAACCCACUGUUCCUAGGCCAGUUAACCCACUGUUCCUAGACCAGUUAACCCACUGUUCCUAGACCAGUUAACCCACUGUUCCUGGACCAGUUAACCCACUGUUCCUAGGCCAGUUAACCCACUGUUCCUAGGCCAGUUAACCCACUGUUCCUAGACCAGUUAACCCACUGUUCCUAGACCAGUUAACCCACUGUUCCCAGACCAGUUAACCCACUGUUCCUAGACCAGUUAACCCACUGUUCCUAGACCAGUUAACCCACUGUUCCUAGGCCAGUUAACCCACUGUUCCUAGACCAGUUAACCCACUGUUCC
ensembl:lncRNA